rnacentral:rRNA from 1 species
GUUAAAGGAGGCUAGAGCGAGCAUGUGUUGUGAGAGAAAUACCCCAAAAGUUUAUGUCUCUCCUCCAACAACAAAAUAAUUCCCCAACGGGGACAAAAGAAUAAUAACGGUGUUACAAACCACCCCAAUAGGAGUUUCUUUUCCUGGAGUAUUAUAAUUAAAAUUUGCCCCAUUAAAACCCCUUUAAAUAAAAUCACCAGAGCCUCCCCUUUGUUUUGAAAAGGGGAUAGUCCUCCCCUCUCGCCCCAUCCCUCCAUAAAUCAUUUUCUUAAAAUAAAAUAGAGGGGAGUUCCAAAAUUUCUUAGGAGGGCCAUCUGUAGCUCACCGUCUUUAAAGGAGGACCAGCCCUUUGCCCCGACUAAUACGGGGUAGCACUAAAAGACAAGCACCUAACCAAGCAGGGUGGUCCGGUGGUUUAAUAUUUUGUUCUUUACGAAUGCGGGGAGGGGAUCUACGUGCGGAAGUAAUACAUAAGCUCCCUCUUUUCUUUUAUCUGUUGUCUCCGCUACCGUUAAUAAGUUCUAAUCUUCAGUUGUUUAUCUUUAGAGAGGCGAAGUGGGGUUUAUAGGCGGCCCUGCCGCGCCCGGCGCGGCUGCGCAGCGUGGGUAGGGGAGG